rnacentral:lncRNA from 1 species
GAGUGCAUAACGCCAAUCAAAUGCAGCCUGGAAGGUCAGAGCAUAGGUGGGAGUGGUGUUGUAAAACUCUUGCGAUACGUUGAAGGCGGCGGAACAGGAUUGUUGAACAUGGGCGUGCACACCAUGCGUAGCAGGUGGAGUUUGGGUUUGUGGUUUUGAAGGGCUGAGAGAAACGAUGCCGAAUCAUCGAAUUGCUUCUGUUGAGAAAACCGUCCAUGGGAACCUUCUGGUUUGAAACCCUUGAAACCACCAGCAACCUCGAUGCAUCCAUUGCUUCUUUAUACAAACUGCUUAGCCCCUCCUUUUGCUCGAGAAUCUGAAUGAUCAUCGACUUCUCGACCAGAGCU